CGGACGGGUGAGUAAUGUCUGGGAAACUGCCUGAUGGAGGGGGGUAACUACUGGAAACGGUAGCUAAUACCGCAUAACGUCGCAAGACCAAAGAGGGGGACCUUCGGGCCUCUUGCCAUCGGAUGUGCCCAGAUGGGAUUAGCUAGUAGGUGGGGUAAAGGCUCACCUAGGCGACGAUCCCUAGCUGGUCUGAGAGGAUGACCAGCCACACUGGAACUGAGACACGGCCCAG
rnacentral:rRNA from 1 species